UCCAGUAGACAAAACUGUAAAGUUUGGGUGCAGAAACAAUUUAUACAGAUAUACUGGCAGAUCAACAUGCGACUACAUUUCUCUCCAAUGUGGUAGGAAAUUAAAUUAAAUUGAAUGUGGAGGAUUUUAACUGUGACAAGAGGAUUGACAGGGCAGUUUAAACGGUGACAGGAGCAACACAGUGUCCGUUAAAGAUGAUGAAGUAGUGUAUGUCCCAAAGCUUGUCUACUCUUCUGCUACACACUCAAAGUAUGUACUUUUUCUUCACAAAAACAGUACUGUCACGGUUCAUGGGUUCACUGACUCACCCUCAUGUGGAUGUUUGAGGAUGUGCGUGAGUAUAUUGUGUGGGCGUUACCUUGUUUAUGACUGAUUGUGAUCUGUGUCAGCUGUGUCUUGUUUCAGUGUUCUAUUUAAUGUGUGUGCCAACGUGUUGUGUUUGUCAGAUCGUUGCAGGCUGUCCUGGUGUGUGCUCGCUCCCUUCCUUUGUGUCUUUCCGGAUUUUGGAUUCUCUGGACUGUUCGUGUGUUGCCCUGUUCUCUGGGCUGGAUUAUUCCCUCAGUCUCUGGUACCCAUUGCAGCCCUGCGUCACCCAGCCCACCACCUUCGGUUUCACGCCUGCCAAUGUUCUCUUGUUUAUUGUUCUCUGAACAUCUGUCAAUAAACCUGUAUUUACUUGCAUUUGGAUCUUCUGUACUUCUUUGUCGCUGACGCUGACAGAACGAUCUGACCAAAUGGAUCCAGCGAGAUUGUCCGACUUACAUGAAUAUCAGAGUAAGAAUGCCCAGCGCAUGGACCAGCAAGAGGAGCAGGUAUUGGCUACUGCUCGGGUCGUACAGGCUUUGGUGACGCAGGUGACCGAGCUUACUACCCAAGUUCAACAUCUGUCAUCGCCCACUGCGCCAGCCACACUGUCCGUUUCCCACCCACCAGUGAACAUCAACAACCAACACGAGCCACGUAUUCCAACACCUGAGAGGUAUGCUGGAGAACCGAAUCUGUGUAGAUCAUUUUUAACGAAAUGUUCUAUUUUUUUCUCUCUGCAACCUAUAACGUUUUCUUCGGAGGAGUCUAAGGUGGCGUUGGUCAUGACGCUGCUGUCAGGACUUGCGGCGUUGUGGGGAACGGCGGUGUGGGAGAAUAACCAUCCAUGCUGCUCCUCGUUCCUUACACUCUCCCAGGAGAUGAGGAGGGUCUUCGAUCGCACUGUGGUGGGUCGGGAGGCAGCACGUAAACUCGCUGAUCUUUGCCAAGGAAAUAGACCCGUUUCGGAUUACGCGAUUGAAUUCCGGACGUUGGCAGUGGAGUGUAAGUGGAAUGCGAGGAGGCGCAGUGGGAUAUGUUCCUGCAUGGGCUGGCUGACCGUGUGCAACAGGAGGUCUACACCUUGGAGUUACCAGUAAAACUCGACGGACUGAUUGAGCUGGCGUUACGAGUGGAUGCUCGUUUACAAGAACGCGUGGAUCGUACGCGGUCAGUGUCAAGGUUCGACUAUACGGAGGACACUGGUGCCAGUGGGUGUAACACAGUCAGUCAUCCAGUCGAACACGAGCCCAUGCAGGUGGGUAGAGCUCGGCUCUCCCGGGAGGAGAGAGAACAUCGGAGAGAGAGAGGACUUUGUAUGUACUGUGGUAAAGCUGGACAUUUCCUGAGAGAAUGUCCCGUAAAAGGUCUAGCCCUAGUAGUAGCGAGGUUACUGUUGGGUGAGUUAACCAUGGAGAAAUCCUCUUGAGCGACUCUCCUUCCUGUGAGACUGCAAUGGGUAUCGGGGUAUUACAGCUGCCAGGCACUGAUCGACUCAGGAGCAGAGGGGAACCUUCUGGAUUAUUCAUUGGCUAAACAUUUACGUAUUCCUAUAUUUCCACUUAAUCAGUCCAUCUCGGUACAUGCUCUCAACGGUCAAGAAUUGCCGACCAUCACGCAUACCACGGGAUCUUUGACACUCAUCACAUCCGGUAAUCACAAAGAACAGACUUCUUUUUUCAUCUCCAGGUCUCCGCUUGUGCCCGUCGUACUGAGUCAUCCGUGGCUGGUCAAGCACAGACCCAGGAUUGGGGCCAGGGUUCGGUGGCGGAAUGGAGUAACCACUGUCACGCCUCUUGUUUGUUUUCAGUACUUGGUGGACUGGGAAGGUUACAGUCCGGAGGAGAGAAGUCCGGGUCCCUGCCAGGGACAUCCUGGAUCACUCUCUGAUUGAUGAUUACAAUCAACAGAUCGUUGCAGGCUGUCCUGGUGUGUGCUCGCUCCCUUCCUUUGUGUCUUCCCGGAUUUUGGAUUCUCUGGACUGUUCGUGUGUUGCCCUGUUUUCUGGGCUGGAUUAUUCCCUCGGUCUCUGGUACCCAUUGCAGCCCUGCGUCACCCAGCCCACCACCUUCGGUUUCACGCCUGCCAAUGUUCUCUUGUUUAUUGUUCUCUGAACAUCUGUCAAUAAACCUGUAUUUACUCGCA